rnacentral:rRNA from 1 species
AGUGAACGCUGGCGGUAGGCCUAACACAUGCAAGUCGAACGGCAGCACAGUAAGAGCUUGCUCUUACGGGUGGCGAGUGGCGGACGGGUGAGGAAUACAUCGGAAUCUACUUUUUCGUGGGGGAUAACGUAGGGAAACUUACGCUAAUACCGCAUACGACCUACGGGUGAAAGCAGGGGAUCUUCGGACCUUGCGCGAUUGAAUUAGCCGAUCCCGGUUUAGCUAGUUGGCGGGGUAAAGGCCCACCAAGGCGACGAUCCGUAGCUGGUCUGAGAGGAUGAUCAGCCACACGGGAACUGAGACACGGUCCAGACUCCUACGGGAGGCAGCAGUGGGGAAUAUUGGACAAUGGGCGCAAGCCUGAUCCAGCCAUACCGCGUGGGUGAAGAGGGCCUUCGGGUGGUAAAGCCCGUUUGUUGGGAAAGAAAAGCAGCAGGUUAAUACCCCGCUGUUCUGACGGUACCCAAAGAAUAAACACCGGCUAACUUCGU